AUUGAACGCUGGCGGCAGGCCUAACACAUGCAAGUCGAACGAGAGGCGGACGGGUGAGUAAUGUCUGGGAAGAUGCGCGCGGGAGAGGGAUAACUACUGGAAACGGUAGCUAAUACAGCAUACACUCGGAUGUGCCCAGAUGGGAUUAGCUUGUAGGUGGGGUAACGGCUCACCUAGGCGACGAUCCCUAGCUGGUCUGAGAGGAUGAACAGCCACACUGGAACUGAGACACGGUCCAGACUCCUACGGGAGGCAGCAGUGGGGAAUAUUGCACAAUGGGCGCAAGCCUGAUGCAGCCAUGCCGCGUGUAUGAAGAAGGCCUUCGGGUUGUAAAGUACUUUCAGCGGGGAGGCGUUACCCGCAGAAGAAGCACCGGCUAACUCCGUGCCAGCAGCCGCGGUAAUAC
rnacentral:rRNA from 1 species